GAUGAAGAACGUAGCGAAAUGCGAUAAGUAGUGUGAAUUGCAGAAUUCAGUGAAUCAUCGAAUCUUUGAACGCACAUUGCGCCCCCUGGCAUUCCGGGGGGCAUGCCUGUUCGAACGUCAUUACAACCCUCAAGCUCUGCUUGGUAUUGGGCUCUACCGGUCCCGGCAGGCCUUAAAAUCAGUGGCGGCGCCACUCGGCUUCAAGCGUAGUAAUUCUUCUCGCUUCGGAGACCCGGGUGCGUGCUAGCCAGCAACCCCCAACUUUCUCAGGUUGACCUCGGAUCAGGUAGGGAUACCCGCUGAACUUAAGCAUAUCAAUAAGCGGAGGA
rnacentral:misc_RNA from 1 species